CCUUGGAGUGGGGAAUAACAGCUGGAAACAGCUGCUAAUACCGCAUGAUGCAGUUGAGUCGCAUGGCUCUGACUGCCAAAGAUUUAUCGCUCUGAGAUGGACUCGCGUCUGAUUAGCUAGUUGGCGGGGUAACGGCCCACCAAGGCGACGAUCAGUAGCCGGACUGAGAGGUUGGCCGGCCACAUUGGGACUGAGACACGGCCCAGACUCCUACGGGAGGCAGCAGUGGGGAAUAUUGGGCAAUGGGCGCAAGCCUGACCCAGCAACGCCGCGUGAAGGAAGAAGGCUUUCGGGUUGUAAACUUCUUUUCUCAGGGACGAAGAAAGUGACGGUACCUGAGGAAUAAGCCACGGCUAACUACGUG
rnacentral:rRNA from 1 species